ensembl:lncRNA
UAAUGGAUUUAACCAUUUUGUUUGUAGGGUAAGCGACUGACAUGAACCUCCAUGAACCAAAAAAAAAAUGAACACCUACCUUGGUGAAUGGCGUGAAAUCUUAAGGCAACUGUGAAGGGUUUUUACAUUGUGAAUUCCGAGGCUGGCUGGGGGAUUGAACUUUUUCUGGGAUCUUGACCGUACCAGAAGAAGAGGAAUUAUCAGAUAACAACAAGCUUGCUGAUGACUUU